rnacentral:rRNA from 1 species
AAAUUGAAGAGUUUGAUCAUGGCUCAGAUUGAACGCUGGCGGCAGGCCUAACACAUGCAAGUCGAGCGGUAGCACAGAGAGCUUGCUCUCGGGUGACGAGCGGCGGACGGGUGAGUAAUGUCUGGGAAACUGCCUGAUGGAGGGGGAUAACUACUGGAAACGGUAGCUAAUACCGCAUAAUGUCGCAAGACCAAAGUGGGGGACCUUCGGGCCUCAUGCCAUCAGAUGUGCCCAGAUGGGAUUAGCUAGUAGGUGGGGUAACGGCUCACCUAGGCGACGAUCCUAGCUGGUCUGAGAGGAUGACCAGCCACACUGGAACUGAGACACGGUCCAGACUCCUACGGGAGGCAGCAGUGGGGAAUAUUGCACAAUGGGCGCAAGCCUGAUGCAGCCAUGCCGCGUGUGUGAAGAAGGCCUUCGGGUUGUAAAGCACUUUCAGCGGGGAGGAAGGCGUUAAGGUUAAUAACCUUGUCGAUUGACGUUACCCGCAGAAGAAGCACCGGCUAACUCCGUGCCAGCAGCCGCGGUAAUACGGAGGGUGCAAGCGUUAAUCGGAAUUACUGGGCGUAAAGCGCACGCAGGCGGUCUGUCAAGUCGGAUGUGAAAUCCCCGGGCUCAACCUGGGAACUGCAUUCGAAACUGGCAGGCUAGAGUCUUGUAGAGGGGGGUAGAAUUCCAGGUGUAGCGGUGAAAUGCGUAGAGAUCUGGAGGAAUACCGGUGGCGAAGGCGGCCCCCUGGACAAAGACUGACGCUCAGGUGCGAAAGCGUGGGGAGCAAACAGGAUUAGAUACCCUGGUAGUCCACGCCGUAAACGAUGUCGAUUUGGAGGUUGUGCCCUUGAGGCGUGGCUUCCGGAGCUAACGCGUUAAAUCGACCGCCUGGGGAGUACGGCCGCAAGGUUAAAACUCAAAUGAAUUGACGGGGGCCCGCACAAGCGGUGGAGCAUGUGGUUUAAUUCGAUGCAACGCGAAGAACCUUACCUGGUCUUGACAUCCACAGAACUUUCCAGAGAUGGAUUGGUGCCUUCGGGAACUGUGAGACAGGUGCUGCAUGGCUGUCGUCAGCUCGUGUUGUGAAAUGUUGGGUUAAGUCCCGCAACGAGCGCAACCCUUAUCCUUUGUUGCCAGCGGUCCGGCCGGGAACUCAAAGGAGACUGCCAGUGAUAAACUGGAGGAAGGUGGGGAUGACGUCAAGUCAUCAUGGCCCUUACGACCAGGGCUACACACGUGCUACAAUGGCAUAUACAAAGAGAAGCGACCUCGCGAGAGCAAGCGGACCUCAUAAAGUAUGUCGUAGUCCGGAUUGGAGUCUGCAACUCGACUCCAUGAAGUCGGAAUCGCUAGUAAUCGUAGAUCAGAAUGCUACGGUGAAUACGUUCCCGGGCCUUGUACACACCGCCCGUCACACCAUGGGAGUGGGUUGCAAAAGAAGUAGGUAGCUUAACCUUCGGGAGGGCGCUUACCACUUUGUGAUUCAUGACUGGGGUGAAGUCGUAACAAGGUAACCGUAGGGGAACCUGCGGUUGGAUCACCUCCUUACCUUAAAGAA